UCUCUGUUAGUAUAUCGGUUAGUACACGCGCCUGUCAUGUGGUCUUCGGAUACCUCUUGAUCGCGCGAAAGCUGGGUUCGACUCCCAGACAGAGAG